rnacentral:rRNA from 1 species
GAUGAACGCUGGCGGCGCGCCUAACACAUGCAAGUCGAACGAUUAAAGCACCUUCGGGUGUGUAUAAAGUGGCGAACGGCCGAGUAACACGUGGGCAACCUGCCCCUUUCAUUGGGAUAGCCACGGGAAACAGUGGAUAAUACCGACUACUUCGAAACUUCCGCAUGGAAGACCCGAGAAAGACCAGGCGGAGAGGGAUGGGCACGCGGCCAGCUAGCUUGUUGGUGGGGUAACGGCCUACAAAGGCAAUGAUGGGUAGCUGGGUUGAGAGACCGACCAGCCAGAUGGGGACUGAGACACGGCCCAGACUCCUACGGGAGGCAGCAGUGGAGAAUCUGGCACAAUGGGCGAAAGCCUGAUGCAGCGACGCCGCGUGCGGGAUGAAGGCCUUCGAGGUGUAAACCGCUUUCAGCAGGGACGAGGCGAAAGUGACGGUACCUGCAGAAGAAGCCCCGGCUAACUACGUG